UGAAUACUCCCUCCGUUCUGAAUUACUUGUCGCAGGUAUGAAUGUAUCUAGAUGUAUUUUAGUUCUAGAUACAUCCAUUUCUGCGACGAGUAAUUUGGAACGGAGGGAGUACAUG
rnacentral:pre_miRNA from 1 species